CCUACGGGAGGCAGCAGUGAGGAAUAUUGGUCAAUGGGCGGAAGCCUGAACCAGCCAAGUCGCGUGAGGGAAUAAGGCCCUACGGGUCGUAAACCUCUUUUGUCGGGGAGCAACGCCGGAGACGUGUCCCGGCCCGGAGAGUACCCGGAAAAAAAGCAUCGGCAAACCCCGUCCCACCAGCCGCGGUAAUACGGGGGAUCCGAGCGUUACCCGGAUUUAUUGGGGUAAAGGGGGGCGUAGGCGGGGUGUAAGGUCGGCGGUAACAAUCCGGGGUCAAACCCCGUACGGCAGGUGAAACUGGGGGACUUGAGUGGGCGAGAAGAAGGCGGAAUGCGUGGUGUAGCGGUGAAAUGCAUAGAUAUCACGAAGAACCCCGAUUGCGAAGGCAGCUUUCUGGAG
rnacentral:rRNA from 1 species